UACGUAGGGUGCGAGCGUUAAUCGGAAUUACUGGGCGUAAAGCGCGUGUAGGCGGUUGCGCAAGUUAGUUGUGAAAUCUCCCGGCUCAACCGGGAAACUGCAGCUAAUACUGCGUGGCUAGAGUGGCAGAGAGGAAAGUGGAAUUCCCGGUGUAGUAGUGAAAUGCGUAGAAUAUCGGGAGGAACACCAGCGGCGAAGGCGACUUUCUGGCUGCUAACUGACGCUGAGACGCGAAAGCUAGGGGAGCGAACGGG
rnacentral:rRNA from 1 species